GGAAUGAACGCGACUCUAUAUCCUCUGCUUUCCUCGCGCUCCUCUACGAUUUCUUCCAAAUCAUACCCUUCCAAUUCAUUCUCACAACCAGGAGAUUCGGAUCUGCACCAAUCGCAUUUGCCGCCGUCAAGGUUCCUUUCAGACACUCCGAACUCUCAUCGGCGUCGCACCUUCCUCCAUUACCGUUAAUUCUUGUGGUUGUUUACGAAACUGCGGCGCUGGCCCUAACGUUGGCCAUAAAGCAGUUGUCUGGUGGAGGCUGUGAUUCUAUCGGUGUGUGUAAGAGUUUGAAGGCUCUUGCUCUGUGGUAGAGAGAUGAAAGUGAAUUGGAGGUUGGGAAUUUCUCUCAGGCCGAGCCACUUUUCCUGUAGUUAAAAUUGUUCCGCCUUUUACCGAGUGGCAAUGUUGAUAACCACGUCUCCAUUCUGCUUUUCUUUCUGCAAUUCGUUUACGGAUAUCUCUGCACUUGAAAUUUCUUGUUCCUCGACUUCACUGAAGCAGCUGCAUUCAGAAAAUUUAGCUGCACAGAACUUCUUUGAAAAAUUUCAGGUCUAUCAUGAGAUUCGCACAGGGGAACCAUUCUGGUGACCUUAAAGGUGCAAAUGAAGCUCUAGGUGAGAAGUAUUUUGGUUAAUCAUCAUGUGCAUUACAUUCCAUCUCAAAAGAUAGACGUUAGUUUUGAGAAAAUAACUAGGCUGCCACACUAAAAUGAGUCUGGAUUGUGAAUUUAGUUAUUAUCGAAGGAGAAAAAUGUAGAGCUCAGGUUGUGAUACAUCAAUUUAUGGACAAGAUUUACGAUAUACAGAAUUCCAAUUUCUUCCAUUUCAAAUGAUUUUAAGAUCUGUGUAGUGCCAAGCUCUAGAAGUCAAGAGCAAGAGAAAAUUCAGAGGAUAACAGGAAAACUUUAGACAUGACCAUCAAUUAUAAUUGUAAAUUCAGGGAUCAACUUCUUUGUGAUGCAUGAACCUUUAUGCCAAGGACCUCCUGGAUGUAAGGGGAAAAAAGUUAAAGUUCUAAAGACCGAUGAUUCUAAACUGUAAUUUAGGGGCUUACAUUCGUAAAGGUGACAGCAUUCUUAACUAUGGAGCAUUUUGAUUCAGCUGUGAUGCAUAUUCAACAGCUUUAAAAUUUGAUCCUUCAAUUCGUCUUCAAAAUCAUUCAAGGUAAUUUCAGGAGAGACAAUGUGCCGUGCAUAUGCAACAAAUUCUGAGAAAAAAAAUGAUGACACAGUUCGAGAUUCAGCCGUGCCUUCAGGGAUUCCAUGUUCAUUAUCUUACUGUCUUCCUCAAAUUAGACCACCACAGCAAAAAGCAGAUAAAAGUUGGCGUCAGAAGGUGAUGGAACU